rnacentral:rRNA from 1 species
GAUGAACGCUAGCGGUGUGCCUAAUGCAUGCAAGUCGAACGAUAACCUUUGGAUUCGUCUGAAGGGGAAAGUGGCGGACGGGUGAGUAACACGUAGGUGACCUACCUCGGAGAGGGGGACAACCACUGGAAACGGUGGCUAAUACCCCAGAUGAUUUAGUGUUUGGAAAGCUUUAUCUAAAGCUCCGGCGCUCCGAGAGGGGCCUGCGGCCCAUCAGCUUGUUGGUAAGGUAAUGGCUUACCAAGGCUUAGACGGGUAGGGGGCGUGAGAGCGUGAUCCCCCACACUGGUACUGAGACACGGACCAGAUACCUGCGGGUAGCAGCAGCAAGGAAUAUUGCGCAAUGGGCGAAAGCCUGACGCAGCAACACCGCGUGGAGGAUGAAGGUUUUAGGAUCGUAAACUCCUUUUCUGAGGGAAUAGAUAGGAAGGUACCUCAGGAAUAAGUCUCGGCUAACUACG